AGUGAACGCUGGCGGUAGGCCUAACACAUGCAAGUCGAACGGCAGCACAGUAAGAGCUUGCUCUUCCGGGUGGCGAGUGGCGGACAGGUGAGGAAUACAUCGGAAUCUACUUCUUCGUGGGGGAUAACGUAGGGAAACUUACGCUAAUACCGUAUACGACCUACGGGUGAAAGCAGGGGAUCUUCGGACCUUGCGCGAUUGAAUGAGCCGAUGUGGGAUUAGCUAGUUGGCGGGGUAAAGGCCAACCAAGGCGACGAUCCGUAGCUGGUCGGAGAGGAUGGUCACCCACACGGGAACGGGAACACGGUCCAUGCGCCUACGGUAGGCCGCAGUGUGGAAUGGGAGGCAGUGGGGGCAAACCUGAUCCAGCCAGACCGCGUGUGAUGAGGAGGCCUUCGGGGUGUAAAGCCCGUUUGUGGGGAGAAAAAAGCAGCAGGUUAAUACCCCGCUGUUCUGACGGUACCCAAAGAAGAAGCACCGGCUAACUUCGUG
rnacentral:rRNA from 1 species